rnacentral:rRNA from 1 species
GACGAACGCUGGCGGCGUGCUUAACACAUGCAAGUCGAACGGAAAGGCCCUGCUUUUGUGGGGUGCUCGAGUGGCGAACGGGUGAGUAACACGUGAGUAACCUGCCCUUGACUUUGGGAUAACUUCAGGAAACUGGGGCUAAUACCGGAUAGGAGCUCCUGCUGCAUGGUGGGGGUUGGAAAGUUUCGGCGGUUGGGGAUGGACUCGCGGCUUAUCAGCUUGUUGGUGGGGUAGUGGCUUACCAAGGCUUUGACGAGUAGCCGGCCUGAGAGGGUGACCGGCCACAUUGGGACUGAGAUACGGCCCAGACUCCUACGGGAGGCAGCAGUGGGGAAUAUUGCACAAUGGGCGGAAGCCUGAUGCAGCAACGCCGCGUGCGGGAUGACGGCCUUCGGGUGGUAAACCGCUUUCGCCUGUGACGAAGCGUGAGUGACGGUAAUGGGGAAAGAAGCACCGGCUAACUACGU